rnacentral:rRNA from 1 species
AGCGCAGACGGUUAUUUAAGUCUGAAGUGAAAGCCCUCAGCUCAACUGAGGAAUGGCUUUGGAAACUGGAUGACUUGAGUGCAGUAGAGGAAAGUGGAACUCCAUGUGUAGCGGUGAAAUGCGUAGAUAUAUGGAAGAACACCAGUGGCGAAGGCGGCUUUCUGGACUGUAACUGACGUUGAGGCUCGAAAGGUGUGGGUAGCAAACA